GAAAGCCCAGUUUGGUCGAGGACUGAGGCUGGAGGAUAACAAUAGGACUCAAGGUAGCGCCUGUCGCUGAUUGGAUGACGAUGCUAAGCCUUGGAGGGACGGGAGAAAGGACAUCACUCACCUGACCCACAAGAAGUGACACAUAGGGAUACCAUCUGGUCAGUCAGAUCUGCCUCAAGCGUAGAAGAACUAAUCCAUGGAUGAAGGUCAAGGGCCAGCAGACAUCAGAGCAUCAAGGCCAGGAAUCAGCAAAUCAACCUGCAAGGGAAGAGAGAGGAGACGUUUAUUGCUUUGAAGACCAGAGAAGGGGUAGGGGGGUGGGGGGAAUGGAUGUCAUGUCUCACACUGUGGGUUCACUGCACAUGUUCUCUCUAUAAGCAAAGGUCUCUUCAGCUUAUUAGAGAACGGGGUAACAGACAGACUCUUUGUGUAAUUAAUGUAGCCUAGUUCUAAUGAGACAGACUGUGAUGGACACUUAAAGCUCAGUUCAGUAUGUUCAGUCAAGGCCCACAAUUAAUGCUAUUUAAGAUUUAAAUGCAGGUAAAAUUUGAUUCGUAAAUAAUAAUAAUAACAAUAAUAAUAAAAAUAAUAGACAGACUAACAUUAUUGGGAAGUUGCGAGAAAAAUGAAUUUUCAUUCUAUUCAUCAGAGAAUCUUUAUAAAAAAUAUGGUAUCACAAACAUAUUAAGCAACACAACUGUUUUUAACAUUGAUAAUAAUAAGAAAUGUUUAUUGAGCAGCAAAUCAGUAUAUUAGAAUGAUUUCUAUAGGAUCAUGUGAGACUCAAGUCUGGCGUAAUGAUGCUGAAAAUUUUGCUAUCAGGAAUAAGUUACAUUUUAAAAUAUUAAAAUAGAAAAGAGUUAAAUUUGUAAUAAUAUUUCACAAUGUGACUGUUUUUACUGCAUUUUUUUUUUUUUUAAUCAAAUGAAUGCAGCCUUGUUGAGCACAGGAGACGACUUUCAAAAACAGUUAAAAAUCUUAUGAUCUAAUUUUUUUUUUGUUGUAAAUUUUACUCAGUCAGGUAUAACCAGCUAGAGUCCGACAAUGAGCUCCAAAUAAUAAAAAAAAAAAAAAAACAGUAUUACCUUAGUUUGGUUAGUAAAUUUAUUUGGAAAAUGUACAAUUAUAUGGUUUAAGCCAACUCUAAUAAUGACAAAUACAGUCAAACCAAAAUUUAUUCAGACCCCUUGAACAUUUCAUUCAUUAAUACAGUUUAUUCACUAUAGUUUAAAAAAUGGUAAUAAAAUAUGACAAGAUCUCAGAGUUAAACUGUGUCAGAAAAAAAAAAAAAAAAAAAAAGGUCUUAAUUAUGUCAGAUAACCAGAGGUGUAAAGUACUUGAGUAAAUGUAAUUAGUUACUGUACUUAAGUAUCUUUUUGGCUACUUUGUAGUUGUACUGAGUAUCAAAGAUAUUGGCAACUUUUACUCUCUACUUAACUACAUUUUUGAGCAAGUAAAUGUACUUUUUACUCCACUACAUUUGUAAUGAGUAAUGCAAUUACAAAUUACAUUUUUCAUGGCAGCUAACUUUUUUUGAAGGUACUAUAUCUUGAGCAUUUUGCCUUUACUCACCCAAAAUUUGUCAACAAGGAUACUUUACAUGAAAGUGAGUGCAUUAGCAGGUAGUUGCUGAUCGAAGAUGUUUUAUUUAUUAGAUGAGGAAAUGACUGCAGCUGGUGAUGAGGCUCAAACCAGCACAUAAUGUAGACUUUAACUAUUUAAUUUUACUUAACAUUGUUUUAUUUAUCCACUAUAUUGACCGUUUUGAAAGAUAUUGGUUUACUUAUGGCCUUUCUGUGCACUUAAGCUUAACUGAGACUUGAGAGUUUGUAGACGUUUAAAAGGUUGUUGUGUCGACCUUGAUUUAUUGCAACAUUGAGGUGUUCAGUUUUAUUUUGAUUUUAGAAAAUAAACUUGAUUUCUCAUCUUACAAAUCAAUUGUUUCUUAUUUUCACUGGCAUGUCUCUCAGGACUAGAGCAUCUCUGAGCCUACAUUCAGCAUGAGUAAAAUACUUAAGUACUGUUAAAAUCAGAUACUCUAAGACUUUUACUCAAGUCGUAUUGGAAUUGGAUACUUGUAACUUGUAGUUGAGUCAUUUUCGAUGUAUGGUAUCAGUACUUUUACUCAAGUUUGGUUUUCAGGUACUCUUUACACCUCUGCAGAUAACACUUAAGCAAAACACGGUCAGGUCAAAGAGUCUGAAUAAUUUUUGGUUCCAAAUUUUUAUCAAUUUUACUGUUAGUCCACUGUAUGAAGAAUUUUUGGGUAUAAUGUGUCACAGUUUACUUUAUUUUGCUAUCCUCACUUACAUAAAUGAACUAUAGUGUCCUGCACCCACUAGUAAAAAUAUAUCAAAAAUGUCUGAAUAAUUUUUGGUUUGACUGUAUAAAGAAUGGCAACAUAAUACAUCGUUUUACAGAGUUGUAAGAAUGAUAAUAUGUACCUUGCUCAUGUAAGUUACAUGAGCGAUUAAACCAUCUACUCUGUUGUGACUGUAUCUUCUCGCAACUUUCACCGCAGUUGAAAUUGAUCUGGGAUGCUUAAGGUUUUUGUUUUUCUCCAGAACUCAUAUGUGGAAUAUGCUUCACAUAAAGCCACCAAAAUGAAAGUACAAGAAACAAAAGCAUAUUUCUUCAUAUUUUUUGAGACAGAUGCUGUUUCAACAAGUGAAAGAGACUAGCUCAUCUGGCACAAUUCCUUGCAUUGUUUAUCACAAAAAUGCAAGGAAUAAACAGUUAAAUGAAGGGCAAAAAUGCAUGUAAUAUUAUAUUCAUGAAAAUCUAAAGGCUGGAAAAAAGGCCACUAAAAUCCAUAAAUUUCUCUCCACUCUAACUACACUCAGCCUUCAAACAAACCUGACAACCUCCUGACUGGACUUUUAUUCCCAACGAGAGGCCGGACACAAGCUUUGAUACUACCUAGAUAACAUACUUUUUUGAAGGCCUGAUUAUCAUUCAUGGAUUCACCUAAUCGGGGCCUAAUUGAGAGCUAUUUGCCGAGUGACACAGUUUUGCAUAUCCUCUUCUCAUUUGCAGGAGAGAGAGAGAGAGAGAAAGAGAGAGAGUGUGUGUGUGUGUGUAUGUGACAGAAGGAGAAGAGAGUGAGGAGUAUUAAUUCCCUAUGGAGACGGGGAUCUGGACAAUGGAUGGUUUGGAGAUAGCAUGAGGGGUUUGGGCGGACCUCCUGGUGAGCUGUAAAGCACAAACAACUCAGUGUUUCAGGAGAUAACAGAGAGAAAGCCAGUCUCAGCAAUCACUAUCAUCUACUCAAGACCAAAAUCACGGAACAACACACCAUACAAGACCACACUACUCUACAGAGUGAAGCAGAGCCUCAGCUUAGCUGCAUCAAUGCAAACAUCCACUAAACACAAAUAUAGCUCACCUAAAGGUUUACAGUAGAUAUUAGAUAUUUAGAGGGAUAAAGUGCAGAGAUAUGUAUAAAGGCAUAAUGUAAACAUGCAUUCUCAUUCUCUAAAAAAUAUCAUGUAACAUCAAAGAGUGCCUCGCGUUGUCCUGAUUCAGUAUCUGCUGUCAGAUGAGAUGUUGUCAGGCUAUAUUUUAGUAUCAUUAUUUUAAUGUUUUUCCAUAACUUGCUCGGAAAUAAAAAGUCUCUUACCUCAGAAAAACAAAAUUUCUUGUUCUGUCAGACGUUAUACUGUGCUCACUAUGGGACGUCAUGUGCUAAAGGGUUAGUUCACCCAAAAAUGAAAUUUCUGUUAUUAAUUACUCAUCUUAAUGUUGUUCCAAACCCAUAAGACUUUCAUUCAUCUUCAGAACACAAAUUAAAAUAUUUUUGAUGAAAUCCGAGAGGUGUUCUGAUGUUGAACGUGGAAGCGCUGAACAUAAACAGCGUAGGAGAAUGACAGGGCAGAGAAGAAAUUGUUGAAUAAAGUCGUUAUUUUUGUUUUGUUUUGGCGCACAAAAAGUAUUCUUUUCGCUUCAUAACAUUAAGGUUGAACAACUGUAGUCAUGUUGACUAUUUUAACAAUGUUUUUACUACUUUUUUGGACCUUAAAUGUGGUAAUUGCGUUGCUUUCUAUCGGGGAUAUAUAAAAAAUAAAUAAAAAAUCUAGGAUUUCAUCAAAAAUAUCUUAAUUUGUGUUCCGAAGAUGAACGAACCAAACAUGAACCUUAUACUGUAUUAGUGGUAUUCUUACAAUUUGUAUAUUAAAUAAAGUGGGACGGUACUUACAUGGUAGUGGGACAUGUGUGUGUGUGUAGAUGUUAUAUUGAUAUAGUAUUGGUUAUAUUGAUAUAGUA